rnacentral:rRNA from 1 species
GACAGAGGUCCCGAGCGUUGUUCGGAUUCACUGGGCGUAAAGGGUGCGUAGGUGGCAUGAUAAGUUUGAUGUGAAAGCUCAGGGCUUAACCCUGAAAUGGCAUUGAAUACUAUCGUGCUGGAGGUUUGGAGGGGGGACUGGAAUUCUUGGUGUAGCAGUGAAAUGCGUAGAUAUAAAGAGGAACACCAGUGGCGAAGGCGAGUCCCUGGACAACACCUGACACUGAGAGACGAAAGCUAGGGGAGCGAAUGGG